CAAUAGCGUAUAUUAAAGUUGUUGCAGUUAAAAAGCUCGUAGUUGGAUUUCUGGUGGGAGCGAUCGGUCUGGCGCUUAGCGCGAGUACUUGCAUCGUCUCCGGCCAUCCUUGGGGAGAGUCUGUCUGGCAUUAGGUUGUCGGGCAGAGGAUCCUCAUCGUUUACUGUGAAAAAAUUAGAGUGUUCAAAGCAGGCUUAUGCCGUUGAAUAUGUUAGCAUGGAAUAAUAAGAUAGGACUUUGGUACUAUUUUGUUGGUUUGCGCACCAAAGUAAUGAUUAAUAGGGACAGUUGGGGGUAUUCGUAUUCCGUUGUCAGAGGUGAAAUUCUUGGAUUUACGAAAGACGAACUACUGCGAAAGCAUUUGCCAAGAAUGUUCUCAUUAA
rnacentral:rRNA from 1 species